GUGUGAUUAUCUCUUGCUCGUUGCUCUCAAGGGAAGGCCUCUGCGUUCAAGUGGUCUCUCUCUCCCUUGACACUGUUGGAGGAUGCUACCGAAGUUCUGCGAUUUGGACUUGGUCAUUGUGGCAGAAGAGAUUGACCAGAAAAUUAUUUGAUAAUACAGUCAAUGAAGAAGUCUGAAGGCAUGCAUUUUGGAAUAUGAUGAGAAGUGGGGCCAGUGGACGGAAAUACAUCUCUUUUGUGUUGGCAGUUUAUUCCCGGCGGCUUUUAGCAAGGAAAUAAAAUCCUACCAAAGAUAGGCAUUCACAGUAAACAUGAUAGAAUCAAUGAAAAAUGCACACAAGAUGGAUAAACAACCAGGGUGCAGAAGACAACAAACUGUGCAAAUACAAAAUGAAAAUGAAACAAGCAAAAUAAUAUUAAUAAAUGACCAAUAAAUAUUGAGAACUUGAUGAAGAGUCCUUGAAAGCGAGACCAUAGGUUGCGGCAACAAUUCAGUGUUGGGGUGAGAGAAGUUGAGUGAAGUUAUUCCCUCUGGUUCAAAAGCCUCUGGUUGAGGAGUAAUAACUGUUUCUGAGCCUGGUGGUGUGGGUACUGAGGUUCCUGUAUCUCCUUCAUUAUGCAGCAGCAAGAAAAGAGCACAGCUAAAAUGGUGGGGGUCCUUAAUGAUGGAUGUUACUUUCCUGUGACUGCACUUCUUGCAGAUGUGCUCAGUGAUAAGAAUGAGUGGACUUGACUGAAUCCACUAUUUUUUUUGUAGGCUUUUCCAUUCAAGGGCAUUGUUGUUUCCAAACAGGGCCAUGAAACAAGCAGUCAAAAUACUCUUCACUGUGCCUAUAUAGAAGUUUGUCAAAGCUAUAGAUGACAUGCUGAAUCUCUGUAAACUGGUAAGAAUUUAGAGGCGAUACCAUGCCUUCUUUGUAAUAGCACUUACUUGCUGG